rnacentral:rRNA from 1 species
UAGUCAUAUGCUUGUCUCAAAGAUUAAGCCAUGCAUGUCUAAGUAUAAGCUUGUUUAUACGGCGAGACUGCGGAUGGCUCAUUAAAUCAGUUAUAGUUUAUUUGAUGGUCUCUUUGUUCUUCUUUUUACCUACUUGGAUAACCGUGGUAAUUCUAGAGCUAAUACAUGCGCAAGGUCCCGAGCGCGGAGAGUAGGACUUCACGGUUCUAUUCUUGCAUGCGUAGAGGGAUGUAUUUAUUAGGUUAAACAACCAGCAUCUUUUCAUUUCUGGUGAUUC